CGUUCCCGGGCCUUGUACACACCGCCCGUCGACACCGACGAAAGUCGGCAACACCCGAAGCCAGUGGCCAACCGCAAGGGGGGAGCUGUCGAAGGUGGGGUUGGCGAUUGGGGUG
rnacentral:rRNA from 1 species